rnacentral:rRNA from 1 species
UACGGAGGGUGCAAGCGUUGUUCGGAUUUACUGGGCGUAAAGCGCGCGCAGGUGGAUGAGCAAGUCGGAAGUGAAAUCUUGAGGCUCAACCUCGAGGCUGCUCCCGAAACUGUUCGUCUAGGGACUGGUAGAGGCUGGUAGAAUUCCCGGUGUAGCGGUGGAAUGCGUAGAGAUCGGGAAGAAUACCCGUGGCGAAGGCGGCCAGGUGGGCCAGGUCCGACACUGAGGCGCGAAAGCGUGGGGAGCAAACAGG